GACGAACGCUGGCGGCGUGCUUAACACAUGCAAGUCGAACGGAAAGGCCCUGCUUUUGUGGGGUGCUCGAGUGGCGAACGGGUGAGUAACACGCGAGUAACCUGCCCUUGACUUUGGGAUAACUUCAGGAAACUGGGGCUAAUACCGGAUAGGAGCACCCGCUGCAUGGUGGGGGUUGGAAAGUUUCGGCGGUUGGGGAUGGACUCGCGGCUUAUCAGCUUGCUGGUGGGGUAGUGGCUUACCAAGGCUUUGACGGGUAGCGGGCCUGAGAGGGUGACCUGACACAUUGGGUCUGGAAUGCGGCCCGGACUCCUACGGGAGGCAGGAGUGGGGAAGGGUGUACAGUGGGCGGAGGCGUGAUGCGGUGACGCCGCGUGCGGUGUGACGACCUUCAGGUUGUAAAGCGCUUUCGCCUGUGACGAGGCGAUAGUGACGGUAAUGGGUAAAGAAGCACCGGCCAACUACGUG
rnacentral:rRNA from 1 species